rnacentral:rRNA from 1 species
AGGAAUAUUGGUCAAUGGGCGAGAGCCUGAACCAGCCAAGUAGCGUGAAGGAUGACUGCCCUAUGAGUUGUAAACUUCUUUUAUAAAGGAAUAAAGUCGGGUAUGCAUACCCGUUUGCAUGUACUUUAUGAAUAAGGAUCGGCUAACUCCGUGCCAGCAGCCGCGGUAAUACGGAGGAUCCGAGCGUUAUCCGGAUUUAUUGGGUUUAAAGGGAGCGUAGAUGGAUGUUUAAGUCAGUUGUGAAAGUUUGCGGCUCAACCGUAAAAUUGCAGUUGAUACUGGAUAUCUUGAGUGCAGUUGAGGCAGGCGGAAUUCGUGGUGUAGCGGUGAAAUGCUUAGAUAUCACGAAGAACUCCGAUUGCGAAGGCAGCCUGCUAAGCUGCAACUGACAUUGAGGCUCGAAAGUGUGGGUAUCAAACAGGAUUAGAUACCCUGGUAGUCCACACGGUAAACGAUGAAUACUCGCUGUUUGCGAUAUACAGCAAGCGGCCAAGCGAAAGCGUUAAGUAUUCCACCUGGGGAGUACGCCGGCAACGGUGAAACUCAAAGGAAUUGACGGGGGCCCGCACAAGCGGAGGAACAUGUGGUUUAAUUCGAUGAUACGCGAGGAACCUUACCCGGGCUUAAAUUGCAGAUGAAUUACGGUGAAAGCCGUAAGCCGCAAGGCAUCUGUGAAGGUGCUGCAUGGUUGUCGUCAGCUCGUGCCGUGAGGUGUCGGCUUAAGUGCCAUAACGAGCGCAACCCUUGUUGUCAGUUACUAACAGGUUCCGCUGAGGACUCUGACAAGACUGCCAUCGUAAGAUGUGAGGAAGGUGGGGAUGACGUCAAAUCAGCACGGCCCUUACGUCCGGGGCUACACACGUGUUACAAUGGGGGGUACAGAGGGCCGCUACCACGCGAGUGGAUGCCAAUCCCCAAAACCUCUCUCAGUUCGGACUGGAGUCUGCAACCCGACUCCACGAAGCUGGAUUCGCUAGUAAUCGCGCAUCAGCCACGGCGCGGUGAAUACGUUCCCG